AAGAUCUCUUCUGUAGCAAUGCUAUCAUCCGAGAAGUAGUGGCAGCAGAUCAAAAUACCGGCAUUGUUGCUAAUGAUUCCAGUCAUUGCUUAAAAAUUGGAACCCACCCGCAGAAUUUAGAUGGAGCAAUUAAAUCAGAACCAAAUCGUCACUCAACAAACAAUUUCUACGUGAAACAACAACACUAGCACAAACUGGAAACACUUCCAAGAUCAACCAACUGGCCUAUAACUUCCAUCGUGAACCGAAUAAUCUAACCACUUUCCAAAAUAGCUUGUCGGAACUGGCAUAAGGGAAGAACAUAAUGGUCCACAUGACUAUGGCCCUGGUGGCCGGCGGCGAUACCGGUACCGGUGCUACCAGUCAACAAUCUCGCCUGAAUGUGGAAGUUGACACCAACUGAUUUCUCUUGUGCACCUGGAACAACGAAACCAUACUUUCUACUACUGGAUCAAACGGAAGUGGUUAAAAGGAGAUAACACUUGGUCCACCGGUCAUGAAAGAAUUGGAGACGGAUGGCUAAAUUCCUCUACUGAUACGGCAAGUAAAAAUUGGCCUGGAAACCCGUGAAUGAGAACCCAAAUGAAAAUCGAAAAAAAUCCGUACAUCACACCAGGAAAUAUUACUCGUACCUUACGACUGCAUCUAUAUUGUUUCGGCAGAGAAUUCGAAGUUGUUAGCAAAGUUGUCAUAAAAAAAUUACUUCGAGAAGCUUUCGACUUAUGUGGUUUUGGCAGCGGCACUGGUGGUGGCAAAACUCCUCAUGGCCCUCCAUCAGGGUGGUUUGCCGGUGAUUUUUUUUUUGGAUCCAACGGAUGGAACCAACGUCUGCAACAAUUAGUCCGCUAGAGAUCGAUGGACCAACUAUCUGUACGCUGUGCAUGCAGUAUAGUCUGUUGCAAUACUUUCAUCUUUACCUGAAUCGUAUAACGUAUUAAUUACACUCUACAAGUAUCAAUCUCGCAAAGAAGGCAAUAAGGUGCAAAUGGCACUGAACAAUUGUGUACCAGGCGAUAGGCAACACAUCCAUUUGCGCCGAAUCUCCCACGGAUAAUGAAGUGCAAACUAUUUUGCAGAACUUGAAAUUCCGGGAGGCCACAACAAUAAUAAUAAUAGUAUUAAAAAUAAUAUGAGCUCCGCUGAUGAGGAGAUGGAGGUGGCAAACAACAAUUCCCCACAGUGGUGCAUCAAUGGUUUUAGCAGCCGAAUGUUUAACGGAUAUAAGAUUCUGCCACGACCGAUGUAUACCAAAACCGACGUAGUGGGAUAUAUUAAGGUGAUUAUAGAUUGAAGCCAGAAAUCGGCCAUUUUGUAAACCACGUGCUUUUCCAAUAUUUUUUUUCAAGAGCACGAGAUGAAAGAACCAUAACGCGUAUGGGGCUGAAAUAAUGGUAGAUCGUUUGCUUAGUUAUGCUGAACAAUCAUAAUUUGAGUUUCGGCACUGUACGACAACUAUUACGCCAGAUUUGGGGUUUUGUAAAUGUAUGUAGAUAAACGUGUGGUGAAUUUAAAAUUCACCACGGGCUUCAUUCUAUAAUCACCUUAAUGUAAAAAUAUUGCUCCGAGUAUUACUUUGGAAAGCAAAAAGCAAAAGUUUUAAAUUUUCACAGAAUUAUUUUCGCUAUUUGGAGUGAUCCUGUUGUUCUACCACCCGCAUAGAAAUAAAUCGUACGCUGAACAAUUAGUAUUAUAAGUUUUCCAUUACACUUUUAAUUACUUGACCAUAUAAAAUUAUUGACGGAUUAUACAUGUUGCAAUAAUGAUUACUAGAAUAGGAAAUGAAACAUAAUAUGUAGAGAACAAAAUCAUUCAUGAUAUGAUUUGGGUUGCUAUUCACACACGAUGGCAGAAAUUAGGUAAAUUUCAUUUUCAGUGUAAUAAAGACAUUUCUGCCAACGGCAGUUUUUUUCGGGCCGAUUUGACCAACGACCAUUAAAAAGUUUUCCCAAAGUCGGUGUUGAAAUGCAUAAACAUUCGUUUCCUUCCGCUUCAAUCGGAAAUUCUAAAACGGUGUUCCGCCACUGCGCUGAGGGAUUCGGCGGAGCUGCAAGGAUUUGCAUGCGAAGGAUUUCGAGAGUGUGAUGGAUACACCAAGUCUCGGACACAAUGAGUCUGGCACUUGGUCUGGCACGACCAAUCGCCAUAGACCUUUCAAUCAGCUUUCAACUUCAUUGGGGCGAUGUCAGUUGCCAUUUAUGUUAUCUCCGGAAAUGCAGCGCGUCCAAAUCGCAACAACAGAACAUUUUUACAUUCUUUAUUUACGAGACUUGCACUCCGUGGCUGGCUCGUCUCGUAAAUAACACAACAUUUAUUAAUUAUUUAAAAAGAUGAAAAAUAAAUUAUUUAUAAUAAAAUAAAUUGAAA